rnacentral:rRNA from 1 species
CUCGCCUGCAUGAAGCUGGAAUUGCUGUAAUCGCGGAUCAGCAAGCCGCGGUGAAUACGUUCCCGGGCCUUGUACACACCGCCCGUCACACCAUGAGAGUCGGGAACACCCGAAGUCCGUAGUCUAACCGCAAGGGGGGCGCGGCCGAAGGUGGGUCCGGUAAUUGGGGUGAAGUCGUAACAAGGUAUC